AUGACCUGGGUCCGCCAGAGCCCUGGGAGGGCGCUGGAAUUCGUCGUAGGGAUCUACCCUAAUAGUGAAUACUCCGCAUACGCACCAUCAGCCAAGGGCCGGUUCUCGAUCUCCAGGGACAACGGGCAGAGCUCGGUGACACUGACCAUGAACGACCUCAAGGACGAGGAUUCCGGCGUUUAUUUCUGUGCCAGAAAUCCUGGUGGUGGGGCGGCCGUGACCCUGCUGGAGUGCGGGGGGGACCUCCAGCCCCCCGGGGGGUCCCUGACUCUGCUCUGCCGCGGGAAUGGAUUCGAUUUUGGGAAUUACGCCAUGAUGUGGAUGCGGCAGAGCCCCGGGAAGGUGCUGGAAAAGGUCGCCUAUAUCAGCUUCAACAGUUCAGAAAUUUCCUACGCACUGUCAGUGCGGGGCCGGUUCUCGAUCUCCAGGGACAACGGGCAGAGCUCGGUGACGCUGACCAUGAACAAUCUCAAGGACGAGGAUUCCGGCGUUUAUUUCUGCACCAAAAAUUAUUAUGGGUAUAGCGCUGCUGGUGGUGAUAUUGCAGGUUCUGGGCAUGUCUCCGUCACCAUGUCCCCACCUAUCGAGAACGGGCCCUGCACCGACGGAGCGAGGUCGUAG